rnacentral:rRNA from 1 species
UACGUAGGGUGCAAGCGUUGUCCGGAAUUAUUGGGCGUAAAGAGCUCGUAGGCGGUUAGUCGCGUCUGCUGUGAAAACUCGGGGCUUAACUCCGGGCCUGCAGUGGGUACGGGCUGACUAGAGUGCGGUAGGGGAGACUGGAAUUCCUGGUGUAGCGGUGAAAUGCGCAGAUAUCAGGAGGAACACCGGUGGCGAAGGCGGGUCUCUGGGCCGUAACUGACGCUGAGGCACGAAAGCCAGGGGAGCAAACGGG